AGAGUUUGAUCCUGGCUCAGAUUGAACGCUGGCGGCAGGCCUAACACAUGCAAGUCGAGCGGUAACAGGAAUUAGCUUGCUAAUUUGCUGACGAGCGGCGGACGGGUGAGUAAUGCCUGGGAAUAUGCCUUGAUGUGGGGGAUAACUAUUGGAAACGAUAGCUAAUACCGCAUAAUGUCCCGGUUUAUAAUGAACUGGGACCAAAGAGGGGGAUCUUCGGACCUCUCGCGUCAAGAUUAGCCCAGGUGGGAUUAGCUAGUUGGUGGGGUAAUGGCUCACCAAGGCGACGAUCCCUAGCUGGUUUGAGAGGAUGAUCAGCCACACUGGAACUGAGACACGGUCCAGACUCCUACGGGAGGCAGCAGUGGGGAAUAUUGCACAAUGGGGGAAACCCUGAUGCAGCCAUGCCGCGUGUAUGAAGAAGGCCUUCGGGUUGUAAAGUACUUUCAGUUGUGAGGAAGGCGGUAACGUUAAUAGCGUUGCCGUUUGACGUUAGCAACAGAAGAGGCACCGGCUAACCCCGUGCCAGCAGCCGCGGUAAUAC
rnacentral:rRNA from 1 species